CAUGUGCUGUCAUUUGCU
rnacentral:miRNA from 1 species